UACGUAUGGUGCAAGCGUUAUCCGGAUUUACUGGGUGUAAAGGGAGCGUAGGCGGCGCGUUAAGUCUGAUGUGAAAACCCGAGGCUCAACCACGGGAGUGCAUUGGAAACUGGCGUGCUGGAGUGCCGGAGAGGUAAGCGGAAUUCCUAGUAUAGCGGUGAAAUGCGUAGAUAUUAGGAGGAACACCAGUGGCGAAGGCGGCUUACUGGACGGCAACUGACGCUGAGGCUCGAAAGCGUGGGGAGCAAACAGG
rnacentral:rRNA from 1 species